rnacentral:rRNA from 1 species
GAUGAACGCUGGCGGCGUGCCUAAUACAUGCAAGUCGAGCGAACAGACGAGGAGCUUGCUCCUCUGACGUUAGCGGCGGACGGGUGAGUAACACGUGGAUAACCUACCUAUAAGACUGGGAUAACUUCGGGAAACCGGAGCUAAUACCGGAUAACAUGUUGAACCGCAUGGUUCAACAGUGAAAGACGGUCUUGCUGUCGCUUAUAGAUGGAUCCGCGCCGCAUUAGCUAGUUGGUACGGUAACGGCUUACCAAGGCAACGAUGCGUAGCCGACCUGAGAGGGUGAUCGGCCACACUGGAACUGAGACACGGUCCAGACUCCUACGGGAGGCAGCAGUAGGGAAUCUUCCGCAAUGGGCGAAAGCCUGACGGAGCAACGCCGCGUGAGUGAAGAAGGUCUUCGGAUCGUAAAACUCUGUUAUUAGGGAAGAACAAAUGUGUAAGUAACUAUGCACGUCUUGACGGUACCUAAUCAGAAAGCCACGGCUAACUACGUG